GGUUGCUUGAUGAGGGGAGUGGAACCACGUGGUAUACAUUGUCUAUAUGAAACGUUGGCCUAUGCGUAUAUUUCUCAAAAUCAAGAAGUAUCAAAGCCAGUCUCUGUCACAAGCAUGAUUCCAACCUGAGCCAUCACUAACUUUUAUUUUGUAACCGGCUCCCUCCCUUGUAUCAACACAUCACAGGAUUUAGUAAAAUAAAGUACUGUGUAUGAACCAAUAAACCGAGUCUACCUAACAUA